rnacentral:rRNA from 1 species
UUGAUCAUGGCUCAGAUUGAACGCUGGCGGCAUACCUUACACAUGCAAGUCGAACGGUAACAGGUCUCCGGAUGCUGACGAGUGGCGAACGGGUGAGUAAUACAUCGGAACGUGCCUAGUAGUGGGGGAUAACUACUCGAAAGAGUGGCUAAUACCGCAUGAGAUCUACGGAUGAAAGCAGGGGAUCGCAAGACCUUGUGCUACUAGAGCGGCCGAUGGCAGAUUAGGUAGUUGGUGGGAUAAAAGCUUACCAAGCCGACGAUCUGUAGCUAGUCUGAGAGGACGAUCAGCCACACUGGGACUGAGACACGGCCCAGACUCCUACGGGAGGCAGCAGUGGGGAAUUUUGGACAAUGGGCGCAAGCCUGAUCCAGCAAUGCCGCGUGCAGGAUGAAGGCCUUCGGGUUGUAAACUGCUUUUGUACGGAACGAAAAGCCCUGGGUUAAUACCCUGGGGUCAUGACGGUACCGUAAGAAUAAGCACCGGCUAACUACGUGCCAGCAGCCGCGGUAAUACGUAGGGUGCGAGCGUUAAUCGGAAUUACUGGGCGUAAAGCGUGCCGCAGGCGGUUUUGUAAGACAGAGGUGAAAUCC